rnacentral:rRNA from 1 species
AUUGAACGCUGGCGGCAUGCUUUACACAUGCAAGUCGAACGGUAACAGGUUAAGCUGACGAGUGGCGAACGGGUGAGUAAUGCAUCGGAACGUGCCCGAUCGUGGGGGAUAACGCAGCGAAAGCUGCGCUAAUACCGCAUACGAUCUGAGGAUGAAAGCGGGGGACCGUAAGGCCUCGCGCGAUCGGAGCGGCCGAUGGCAGAUUAGGUAGUUGGUGGGGUAAAGGCCCACCAAGCCGACGAUCUGUAGCUGGUCUGAGAGGACGACCAGCCACACUGGGACUGAGACACGGCCCAGACGCCUACGGGAGGCAGCAGUGGGGGAUUUUGGACAAUGGGCGAAAGCCUGAUCCAGCAAUGCCGCGUGCAGGAAGAAGGCCUUCGGGUUGUAAACUGCUUUUGUACGGAGCGAAAAGGCUCUCUCUAAUACAGGGGGCUCAUGACGGUACCGUAAGAAUAAGCACCGGCUAACUACGUGCCAGCAGCCGCCGUAA